rnacentral:rRNA from 1 species
AUUGAACGCUGGCGGCAGGCCUAACACAUGCAAGUCGAGCGGUCUCUCUGUGCUUGCACCUCUUGAGAUUGGCGGACGGGUGAGUAAUGCCUAGGAAUCUGCCUGGUAGUGGGGGAUAAUGCUCGGAAACGGACGCUAAUACCGCCUACGUCCUACGGGAGAAAGCAGGGGACCUUCGGGCCUUGAUCUAUCAGAUGAGCCUAGGUCGGAUUAGCUAGUUGGUGAGGUAAUGGCUCACCAAGGCGACGAUCCGUAACUGGUCUGAGAGGAUGAUCAGUCACACAGGAACAGGAACACGGUCCAGACUCCUACGGGAAGCAGCAGUGGGGAAUAUUGGACAAUUGGCGAUAGCCUGAUCCAGCCAUGCCGCGUGUGUGAAGAAGGUCUUCGGAUUGUAAAGCACUUUAAGUUGGGAGGAAGGGUCGUUACCUAAUACGUGACGAUUUUGGCGUUACCGACAGAAUAAGCACCGGCUAACUCUGUGCCAGCCGCCGCGGUAAGAC